GUGCAUAUCCCAGUAACUUUGCUUGUACCUCUUGAGCACCAGGUGCAGAAUUAAGAUCUGGAUUUGGGACAAAACGGAACAUUUCUCUCGGGGAAGAGCUACCACUAUGCUGGCCACCAGCCUGCUGGGAGCAGCCAUCGCCUCCAUCUGUCUUGGAACCAGCAUGGCCCAGAAGGUAAUUCAAGCUCAGACUGCAAUUUCUGUGUUGGAGAAGGAGGCUGUGACCUUGGACUGUGUGUAUGAAACCAGUGAUCCUACUUAUUACUUAUUCUGGUACAAACAACUACCCAGUGGGAAACUGACUCUCCUUAUUCAUCAGGGCUCUUACAAUGAGCAAAACACAAAAGAGGGUCGCUAUUCCCUCAACUUUCAGAAGGCAUCCAGUUCCAUCCAGCUCACCAUCAAAGCUUCACAGCUCAUGGAUGCAGCAGUGUAUUUCUGUGCCCUGAGAGAGGCCACAGUGUGA